AAAUAGAAUUGCUUGUUAUCCAGACUGUGCAGAGCCAACAUCCUACUCAAGAGAAUCCGAAGUGGGAACUAGAAACAUGUGUGCGGCACCAGAAACGAUGCCCGUUUUGUGUUGUGACAUUGUGCACCAAAAAUGAAGCCACACAGUCCUGCUAACUGAGACCAUUUGCAGCCACCAUCAGUACCAAGUGGAGAGCAUUUCUCAGGCAGGAGAUGAACAGACGGUGAUAUUUCUCAACUGCAAUCCCGCAGCCGUGAAACUUGGCAAAUGCAGCCAUCGUUUUCACCCUGAAGAAAACUGCCUUCUGGUGACCAGCGUGAGAGAGCCCCUGACAUGCUGAAGACUGCAGUUCUAGGGGAAGAAGACCAUGGGGUAUUUGGCCUACUGCCAGAAUUCAUGCUAGAUGGAACCACUCACGCUGCCUUUUGCUGAUUGGUGCAAUGGAACAGAGGCCAGACCCACAAUUUCCUGUGACGCUAAAGACUUUGGUGGACCAUGGUGUAUUGGAAGGAAGUAGAGCUUGAGAAUGAGAUUCCAGGAAGAAAAGGAUGAUCAGAAACUAAGGAAUUGCUCUUGCUCCAAAUAUACAAGUUGCAUUUGUAUAAAACAGAAGAAGAAUAUCGCAAUGCAGUAAGAAUUUAAAUCUGAGAAAAAAAAAUCUGCCAGAAAUGGAUCCAUCGAAUUAUGCAAAUGAUGAAGCAGGAAGCCUCACAUUUGUUCUGACCUAGGAAAUGGAAGUGUCACUAACCACAUCCUUGGGGACCAGAGAGUCGAGAUGAGGAUGUUUGAUUUCUCCUCAGACUUAGACUUGAAAAUGAUCUUAAGUAAAAAUAAUAAUAAUGAUUUUAUUAAGUCAAGCAAGCUGACAAAAAUAAUUAAUAUUCUCUAUGAGAAUAAAUAUUCCAAUGGCAAGAAUAGUCAGAGACAGAGACAUUCCCUGGGGAUUUUAAGAUAAGUAACACGGCCCCUCCAGGCAAAACUAAUAAUUAUUACAAAGUUGCCUGGCAGAAGAGGCCAACUUUGGAUCAUUGUUUUUGGGAAGAGGGAAGAAUAUCUCUUAAUAUUAAGUUAACCAAAUUUUUUAAAAAGAGCAUUUAUAAACCACCUAUACAUAUCAAGAUAAGUGAUGAAUGUUCAACGUAUGUGAUCUCAUUGAAAUUUAAUAACAGCACAGGGUUCAAUAUUAUUGUCCCCCAUUUUGCAGUUGGCAAAAGAAUAAGGCUCAUGGACUUCACUGGUAUUGCUCCAUGUCAUGCACUUGGUACAUGGUAUGAUCAGGACCAGAAGUUAAUCUGUUGGAACUAAAUGCACUCUUCAACACAGAGCAGUACAGUGGCAUGGCACAGAUACAGAUGAGAAGAGAUGUGGUUCAUUGCAAGGAGGAGCACAUAGUCAGGGAAAAUUACACACAGAUAUGCAACACAAGACACCCCUGAAGAAAUGUGCAGGACUGGAUCCCAGAGGCGAUGGGAAUGUUCUCCUGUAGGAAUGUUGGUGGUCGUAUUUGCAUUUUAGAAAGAUCUUUCAUGUAGAAAGCAACACAUUGCCCGAAGAUGAUGUGUUCAAAGGGAGGGUGGGGGCGUAGCUCACCCCUAUUUUUUAUGUGAAACUAGAAUUCAAUGCUUAGGAAUGUUCAGAGAUUUCAAAAGCAGCAGAUUAAAAGUAUGUAAAUACAAACAAGUGAAAGAUUAUUCUGAUGUUCUAUCCCUGUUUCAAACACACCAAAAUGGAAAACUGUUCUUCUGACCCAAGGCCCUGAUUUAUAAAUUCAUAUUUCAAUUUUUCAUGAAUAUGGUUAAAGUAGAGAUAUAAAAAGCUCAAAGAAACUCUCAGCUAUUUGUCAGAGCUUUCCCUUUAGAUGAGCUCUCCAGGGAGGGGUUCAUUCUAAUCUGGAAUAAAGUUAAUGUCCCUGUUGCAAAGGCAUACCCACUACACGAUGUGCUAACUUUAGCCAGAGCCCUUCAUAUUACUGAGCUUGGGCAUGUAAUGCUGACCCGCACCUUCUGCAGCUCUGCAGGAAGACACAGCCACAAUGGCAGAAGGGAGCAAGAUCUCAAGAAGCCAGUGGGUGUUCAGAGGAAAAGCGAAGCAAAGAACUUGGUAAUAAGACACAGGAUCGACCUGAGCUACAGAAGGUACGAACGAAAAAGAGCAAGAAGAAUAAUAUUAAGAAGAAUAUUCAAGAAUCAAAGAAGCCAGCAUUUGCAGCUGUGAGGUUGAAGCUCAAAGGCUUAUAUAAAGACAGAUCAUACUGAGCAAGAAUUAACGAGUGAACUUGUGUGGAAAGUUCCCAUGUACUCACAUUAGCUCUCCUGAGGAAGGGUGAUUUCCAGUCUGCGUUGUUGCUAUCCUUGGGGCAGAUCUGAACUGAAAUAAAAUAGAUGAGGUAUACAUGUGAUUUAUAAAGGAAGGCCACCUUUGACACUAAGUGUUAGUUUGGUGGCAGUCAGCUUUGCAUAAGAAGCAGAACACAAAGGCUCACAAUCCCAGAACUGGACUAUUUCCUUCUUAUAUGGAUCUUUUUGCCUGUCAUGUGUGAGAGACUGUGAAAAAAAUAACCUAAUAGCAAAGAGUGUACCUCACACCUAGAUCUUGGUUUCUAAUUCUGUUCUCUAAAAACAGGAAACAUAUCCAGAGAGAAAGGACUGAUUCUGAGACUGGGUCAGAAAACAUAUAAAAUGAGCCUGGAGAAUGUUGUAAGUGCCAGGAAGU